AGAAACUGCUAAUUCGAUUAAUAAUAAGCCAGUCACACAAUUUCUAAACUGCCUCUAAUCCAAAAAACCUCUACCUUUUCUAAUCUCAUACUGAUUAUUCUACGAGAUGACAAACUCUCAAUAUGACCUCCUCCUAUCCUCAACAAUUCUUGAAGGAAAAGAAAAAGAAACUUCUAAGGAAAUUUUUUAAAUGCUGAAUUUCUCUGGCAUUGAGCCAUGUGUAGAUUAAACAUCACUUAAUCCUCCAACAGCUCUAAGGCAGUGGUUUACAAGCUACAGCGUACAUUACAAUCACCUGGAGGACUUGUUUUAGAGAUUGUUGGGCUCCACCCCCAGAGCCUCCGAUUCAGUAAUGGGGGAACGCCCACCCAGGUGGUGAUGCUGCUGCUGCUGCGGCAGGUGGGGGCACUCUGAGAAGCGCUGCACUAAGGUAAUAUUAACGUGUGGCCCUCGUUCUGGGAAACGCGUGCUGUCUGCAGCAGAAAUUGCCAAGAUUUUGAAAACUUUUAUAGCAGUUUACCAUUACAUGGCAUCGAAGCACGUGAACAUUUUUCUAGUAUUUCACCCUUAUUGUAUUUUCCCAAAGUACUGAUGUGAGAACGACUAGAAAGUUGUCCAAGUUUGUGGAGCAUCGCUUUAAGCUGACCCAGCAUACGGCAGCCCCUGCCCCUGGGGACAGCGGGGCCGACCUAGGGCACGAGGGGUGACUAGGGGUGACUCUUUCAGCCAGAACACUGGCCUGAGACGCAGUUCCACACUUAAGGUUUUCAUCGUCUCGUCUCAUUCCGGCAUUUCCCGGGACAACACUCGCACCAGCCCCGCUGCAGGUGCCCUGGGUCCCGGCGGCCGGCGCAGAGGAGACAAGAAAGGAGGGCGCAGGCACAGCGCCGCGGGCGCCCGCGAGCAAGGCCAGACCCCAGCGGCACAUUUCCUGCCCAAAACUUGGGGCCGCGACGGUAUGCACUCCGGGACUCAAACCCCAGGAUCAAGCACUAAGAAAACAGCCAGAGAGAGACUUUUCCAAUCACCUCCCACAACUGGAGUGAAGAAUCAGGAUACAGUGGACAAAAUAAGACAUGAAGUGUAAGGAUGUUGUUUCAGGCUGCACACGUGUCCCAGAGAAGAAGAAACCAAGCAUCGUGAUAGAACUCUGUUGAGCCAGGCAAAGUAUGAAUGGUCUGAUCUUCCUCCAUCAUGGAAAGAAACUUAUACUGAUUCAUCAAGAAGCAGGGAUAGAAGCCUGUUUAUAUUGUUAUUUAUUUUAGAGACUAUAAAAGUGACUAACCAAAAGAACCAAAACAGGGAUGGUUGGGAAAAACGUGGUUAUCUUUGGGCAGUGAGGCCACCUUGACUGGAAGACUGCCCAAGAGUGAAGGUGACAAAGGAACCAAGAUCAGGAGACCAAGAAAAGAGGACAAUCCAGAUCCAACAAUAUCGCUAGAGUCCCUUGGUCAAGCUGAAUAUGGAAAUGAGCUUUUCCCUAUGUAAGCCAAUAAAGUCUGCUUUUGAGUUGGGUUUCUGGAACUUGCCAUUAAAAAUGCCCAAUACAUGCCAACUACUCCUCCCCUUUCCCUCCCACCUCCCCUCCAGUUAAGGUCUUUGCCUUCUCAUCUUUAUAAACUUGCAUUGCCAGAUGCCUUGUGUAUAUAUUUACAUAAGAAGUUCAAAGUUCCUAGGUAUGCGAGUUAAUAGUGGAAUUAUUUAAUUGAUAAGUCCAAGUUUAUCUAGCAGUGCUGUAAGGAAGUCCAGGUGCAGUCGCUUAUGCCUGUAACCCCAACACCUUGGGAGGCCGAGGCAGGAGGAUCGCUUGAGUCCAGAAGCUCAAGACCAGCCUGAGCAAUAUAGUGGAGACCCCGUCUUUAAAAUUUUUUGUUUAAUUAGCUGGGCAUGAUGGCAGAUGCCUGCAGUUCCAACUACUCUGAAGGCUGAGACAGGAGGAUCACUUGAGGCCAGGAAUUGGAGGCUGUAGUAAGCUAUGAUUUCACCACUGCAUUCUAGCCUGGAUGAUGGAGCAAGACCCUGUUUCUAAACAAGAAUAAAAAUAAACAGUAAUUUUUUUUUUUUUUUGAGACUGAGUCUCUCUUUGCUGCCUAUGCUGGAUUGCAGUGCUGCGAUCUCAGCUCACUGCAACCUCCACCUCCCAGAGUCAAGCAAUUCUCCUGCCUUAGCCUCCUGGGUAGCUGGGAUUAGAGACACCCACCACCACUCCUGGCUAUUUUUUAUUUUUUUAUUUUUUAUUGUUAGUAGAGAUGGGGUUUCACCAUGUUGGGCCAGGCUGGUCUCGAACUCCUGACAUCAAGUGAUCUGCCCGCCUCGGCCUCCCAAACUGCUGGGAUUACAGGUGUAAAAGAUUUUUAAAAGUAAGGAGGAGGCCGAGGUGGGAGGAUGGCUUGAGCCCAGGAGUUCAAGUUAGGCAACAUGACAAAAUCCUGUCUCUGCAAAAAAUAUAAAAAUUAGUUGGGCAUGGUGGCAUGUGCCUGUAAUCCCAGCUACUUGGAGGUUGAGGUGAGAGAAUCACCUGAGCCCAGAAGGCCAAGGCUGCAUUGAGCCAUGAUGAAGCCACUGUACUCCAGCCUGGGCGUCGGAGUGAGACCAUGUCUCAAAAAAAAAAAAAAAAAAAAGGAGGCAAUGAUGAUUUGAAGCGACCAGAUUGUCUGCCUCAGUUGAGUUUCUGGGUUUGGAGCCUCUCUGGUAGCCACAACAAGAAUAUUCUUGGAUUGAGCCCCAAAGUUCUGCUGGUUGAACAAAAUGCAUGGCUGUCUUCUUCCAUUUUUAGAAUCAUAGAGUCCUGGAAUACCAGAAAUGAAAGGGUUUUAGAGAUCACCUAGUGUAACACCCCCAUUUUUACACAUGAGAAACUGGGACCCUGGGAGCUUCCAUGGUUUGCUCAGAGGACACUCUGAGGGUGAGUGGCAGAACCAAGACUGGAAGCUGGGUUUCUCCAGGCUCACAGUCCCUGGCUCCUUGUGUUGAGUCUUUGGGGAGGAGGAAGAAAAAUGAGAGCAAAAUGAUAGGGUCAGGACUGCAGAAUCAAAUGAGAAGCACCAACCGAGAUAGGAAGGUUUCUUGAAUGACAAUGACUGACACCUGGGUCUAUGCAGGGGGCCUCCCUGCUCAGGACUUUCUCUGAGUGUGGCCCAGGCUAAGGAAUUCUGAGGCCCUUCUGAUGCUAAGACCUUGGAUCUGGGAGACUAAGACAUGUGGACUGGUAAAUCCUUCCUGUGUCUUCUAGGUGUGCAGAAGCGCACAAGGACACCUCCCAGCUGGCGUCAUUGAGGCCGGCAGCAUUUUGACAUGUGGGUCAGGGUUCUCUGGGUCAUACUGUCAUGUUUUGAACUCUUUUCUGUUGGAGAAAAUUUUACCAUUUUUUCAAACCCAAUCAAUAGUAUGGUAUAGUCUUGUUUAAAUGUCACAUAAUCGCACUGAAGAAACAUCUAAAGGAGAAAAAAAGAACUACCUUUAGCCUCACAACCUUCACCCUAUAACUGACUUCCCUUUUGCUUUUUCUCUUCUGGCCCUUGUCCAUGUGCACACAUAAUUUUGCUUGGUUGUAAUGAGAAGACACAUACAAUUUUGUAUUAAAGCAAUAAAGUUUUAAUGAUGUAUAGAUAUACAAAGAAAAUAGCUAUAAAGCAAUAUUUAUGCAGGUUUGUAGGGGAAAAAUCCAUUUUAAAGGAGACAGUAUGGAAUAAUAGAACAUCUUAGAGUAGUCCAUUUGGGAUAGUGCUUAUAAGACUUUAAUAACAUUUCUUCUCUUUCCUUUUUAUAUUGUUCCUUAACCAAGUCAUGAUGAAAUAAAUGUUAUAUAUGUUCAGCUUAUAUUUGUGCCAUUUGAUUUUUAAAACAAUCAUGGUGCUUCACAAGAAAAAAAAAUAUCAUAGAUCUUGGUGACUUCCACCCCAGUGAGAGGCCAGUUUUCCAUAGCAUUUGGUUUUAUGUAAGCAAAGCCUAAUUUUUGUAUCCUCUGUCUUGCCAUGCAAAAUCAGCCAACCUCAAGUAAUAAGCAAACAAGCAUCGACCUAUUAUUUACUGUGCAUCUAGUGCUGGUCAUUAUAAGGUUCACAAAAUGGUAGACCUUUGCCCACAAGGUCCUUUCAAACUCCUUGAAAAAUGGAGGCAAAAGUACAUUAUUGAACUCUCAGUGAAUUGACCUGAUGUAUUAUAUAUUUAAUUGUCUGUUUGUUUUCUGUCUAUAUUCUCCUUAUACUGUAAGAAACAU